rnacentral:lncRNA from 1 species
GCCAAACUUGUGCAUCAUCAAUUAAGAAAGUCUUUCUAAGAUUCUAGGGACUAAGUUCAUCAAUUAUCUUGAAUUUCUGGAUUCUUGACUUGGAUCAAACAUGAGAAGCGCUUAUCUUUGGCAUCAUCAAAACUUCAUGUCAUAUUUGCUUCUACAUCAUUCAAUAUUCAUGAAAAUAAAAUUUCUAAGGUGUUUCAACUUGACCCACAAAACAAAGGAUGCUAAAUGUAUUAAUUUAAAGUCUUGAAUGUAAGCUUUCAUUCAGUUUUGAUGUGCUUGCAUAUUUUUGCUGAAGAAAGUUGUGGUGAAGCCAAAUGCCGAUUUGAUGGUAACUGAGAUGAUUGUCUUUUUGUUGGUGUAAAAAGACUUCCCAACUUUGGAUCAUGGUCGGCAGUUCUAGAUAAUGACGGCUAUAAUUAGAACUUUUUUGUUAUUAUGAGUGUGCUAACAUGAUAGAUCUCGUUACAAAUGAACAUUCAUAAAACAUAAGCAUUUCUCAUUGUACAUGUUAGAUUCAUAACAGACAUAGAACCCUGGGAACAAAUACCUAAUUAUCUGUUUUCUAAAAUCAUUAUACAUGUUAGUUCUAAAAAAUCAAUAUGCAUGAUAUAAUGUACCAAAUGACAUGUUUAAAUAUAAAAAUUGUUGGCUACCUCGAUUUGUGAUUCAACAUUCAAUGUAUGCAUUGUCUUAUCAUCCUUGGUUAUAGCCUGCACAUCAAGACAUAUAAUGAGUAAAAACAUAUCUUCAACCCGAAAAAAUAAAUACAUUAUAAGUUUUAUGAAUUCUUGAUCAAUAUAAGUUUGAUGACCUUGUCAUGAGGUCCAAGUCGUUCCAUUAUAAGUUUGAUCAAUUCUGAUUAACAGACAUUUUCAUGACACCACAAUUAUUAAACUUUGGUUAGACUCUAACUCUGAAUGCAAAAGUAUAUCCUAACAUUCGAUCCAACGGUUCUAGAAUCUCUUUCGGGUUAUCUUCUCCAAGCUUCUUCAAAAAAUGACAUAAGAGUUAACAUAUAAUAAGUUUUGGAAUUAAAGCCAACCAUCAUACACAUUAAAAAACAAUGACAAAAAAUUAAGCAUGUACCUUAGUCAUUAGGAGUCUAAGAUCAACAAUUGUCAUUCCAAUCAAUUUUUCACACUCUCGAACCUAAAAACAAAUUUUGAAUUAAAAUUUUUGUGAUAAACUUGAACCUCAACUUUAUACCUAUGAAUGAUAAAAAAAAUGUGGCUAGAAUGUACUAUUUUUUUAAAAUGGGAAAGUAAUUUGAAUGUCAUUUAUAAAAAUGAUUACAAUUGGUACAUCCUUCAUAGUACCAUCCAUUUGGCCCAAAAAUGAUUUUAUCGAUUGUAGCAACAAUGAGACAUUAGAUUUCCUAAUAGCAUAAUUUCAUAAGACUAUAUUAAUAACAUAAUACAACAAAUGAAUAAUUGAGAAAAAAAUAAUUUAACUAAAUUACAUAGCGGUGUAAAAAAACUUGUCUAGUUUCGUUAAUCUAGCCAUGAGUCUUCGUAGUUGCUUUGUACAUAAAUUUUUCAUGCUCUGAAUAUUGAGAGCUAGCAGAAAGAUGUGAGAAGCUAUUAAUUUGAGAUAGAUUUUCACUAUGUGUUUCUACUUGCACCAAGCUACUAACAUCAAAACUAAAAAAUAUAUAAUAUAAUAAUAACAUUAUUCAGACUUAUAAUCUCAUUAUUAAGAUUACAUAUAUGAAAAAUAUUUAGUUGAAGCCUGCUGCUAAAUUUUUUAAUUUCUUCAAUAUCAUCAUUGAUAAAUAGUUUGGAGCAGCAAUAUGAGUUUGAGAUUCCAAGUGGAAACCCACUUGCAACAACAAACGUGCGUCAAUUAGCAUUAAUACCAUUCUAACAACUACACAAAAUAUUUUAGUGCUAGUUAUUAUAUUCACCAUUUGCUUCUUUUAUCUUCGCAUGCGUCAACACAAUAACAAUUAAAUAGUUGACAAAUAUUUCAUGUGAAUAUUCAAUCAAUUUCAGAGCAUAAUCUUCCCACAACAUAUAAUUAAGUACAUUUCCAAUACAGUAAAUAAACAUUUGCAAAUGUCAAUAAAUAUAAAACAUAGUCAAGAGUAAUGAAAAAUACAAUUCAUUAAAUUAUGCAUUAAAAAAUACUUGAUAUCUUUCAAAUUGAACACUAUCUUUCUGUUGUCAUUUGUAAUUCCUUGGAAAGUAAUUUUUUCAAUGGCAUCAAUAAUAUCUGAACAAAAAGGCAUAAUUAACAGUACAAAUUUCUUAAGAGGAUAAAUUAAUUAGAAAACAAUAGCAUAAUCAACUAAAAACAUGCUAAAAAAUGUUCAACAUUGUAGGCAAUUAACAUGCUUCCUUAAUUUUACCAAUUAACACAUAGGAAUUUUGCCCUUUUAGUCAGGAUAUCUUCAAAAUUCAUGAAACCGUAAACAUUGUUGGCAAUAUCAAGAAGGUCUUGAGUCUUGAGCGUUGUUUCACCAGUAAAUAACAACUUCAAUGCAUGAUUACAUAUCUUAUAUUGUCCAUCAUUGGGUACAGUUCUGAAGUUAUUCAUGAUAUAUGUACUACCCUCUCUCAGCAUUGCAUACCAUGUAUCAAACUGGUCUUUCCUAGCCAUAAAUAGAAUCUUAUCUCCCUAAACACAAUAAAAAUAAUCAAGCAUUUAAUAAAUGGACAACUAUCUAUUUGACCUACACAUAUUCAUUAUAGCGUUUAAAUCAUGUUCUUACAUUAGAGUCCAUGAUCACCAUUUCUAAAUGACCAGAGUAAUCACGCGUAGGGACAACCCAUAGAUCUAUUAUGCGAAUAACAAGAUGCAAUGUCUCUUGUGUUCCAUCAAUAUCUUUUAUGGAAUCAAAGUUCCUCGCCAUUAUCUAUUGCAACCAAAACUUAAAAAAUCAAAUGAUAUGCAUAGUUGGCAUAACAAUGGAACAAAUUCUGCCAACACAACUGUGGCAAAAAAAAGUAAAAGAUGAUACAGUGAACAUAGAUAUCCAAAACACCUAUAAUCAACUUCUAACAGCUUCAUAUGCAUAACAAAACAGAGUGCAAAGUCUACAAAACAUAUGAAAACCCCCUCAACAUUUCGCCUAAAAAACAUUAAACUUAAACAGAAAACCAACAACUAAAUUGAAACCUCUAAUGUUAACACAAUGAACAACUAACCCCAAAACCUUAAAGCUAGAACUAAAUGAAGACCCACAAUUAACUUCUGACGACUUCAUCUGCAUAACAAAACAGAGUGCAAAGUGUACAAAACAUACAAAAAAAAACCUCUACAUUUCGCCCACCUCACACUAAAUUUAAACAGAAAACCAACAGCUAAAUCUAAACCUCAAAUGUUAACACAACGAAUAACUAACCUGAAAAAAAGUGUAAUAGGCAACCAAUUGAUAUCCCAUAAAAUAAAAUAAAAAUUAACACAAAAUCAAUUUUACAAAGAAAAGGCUCACUUACCAAAUGAACCUUCAACCAAGCUUACAUCAACCCCAACGAUAUUUGAAAUGUAGUAGUACAGAGGAGAUGAAAAGAAAAGAAGAAUGUUGGAAACGUGGGCAUUGUGUGAAAAAGUGAAAUGAGAGAUGCGAGUG